UGGGGAAUUUUGGACAAUGGGCGCAAGCCUGAUCCAGCAAUGCCGCGUGCGGGAAGAAGGCCUUCGGGUUGUAAACCGCUUUUGUCAGGGAAGAAAUCUCUUGGGCUAAUACCUCGGGGGGAUGACGGUACCUGAAGAAUAAGCACCGGCUAACUACGUGCCAGCAGCCGCGGCAAUACGUAGGGUGCAAGCGUUAAUCGGAAUUACUGGGCGUAAAGCGUGCGCAGGCGGUUGUGCAAGACAGAUGUGA
rnacentral:rRNA from 1 species